GCGCGAAGUGAUAGCAAAAUGUUGUAUGGAUUGUCUGGGUGACAUGCCUGUUUUCUAUGUAAACAUUUAAUAACUGUUUUUAAAUACAGUCAGUGCUCGCCAUCCGGUAUUUACGAGAAAAACUGUUUUUAAAUGAAGUUUUACCGUAGAAAAAAAUGAUUAUAAGGUCAUGUUAAAAAGGAAUUUCCUUAAGUGAUUUUAACUCCAAGAUUUUGUAUGAGAUUCAUAUCAUUUAAGGAUUGAUCUCUUAAAACUAGAGAGUUUAACGAAUACGACCAUUUAUAUGAGAUAAUUAUCUCGCUUGCAUUGAUUUAUAACCAACAAAAAAAACUUGAUCAAGGCAGUAAAUGUUUACCAGUGCUUAAAAACUUUUAUAGCCAAACAUGUCAGUAUAAGUAGCAGGUAUUACGCAGGGCAUUCCUUAAAACAUGGGUUAUUGUCGAACUAAAACGGACAAUGUUCAAACAUCACGCUCUGUUAGAACACUGAAUAAAGUUACUUGUUAAUAUACAUGUAUAUACAUGUAAAUAUAAAUCUUUAAUGGCAUCGAAUUUCUUCAUAUUACAAAUAAUAUAUAAUGGCAAUGAUAUUGUUUUACUCAAAUCAUUUUACUUAUUCGCAAGAAAAGAAUACAUGAAAAAACAAAGCACCACAAAUAUCGAAAGAGAAAACAAUUCUCAGAACUUCCCAUUUGCUGUUCAUUGUUGAAAUGACAUUGUGUAUUGUUUACUUAUAACAAUACUCAUCCAAGAUAAACAGCUUUCAUAAAUGCUUUUGUAUGUAUUUAAGGCUUAAUGGGGGUCCAUCCGCGCUUUCAGGCACUGAAACUACCGACCCCGGUAAAUGCUUUUUAAACAAUGAUAAUUAUUUAUAUGUCCGAUAUACAAGAAAGUCCCUUGUAAAUGAUAUUUUACUAAAUAUUUAGAAAGCACAAGAAAGCGAACGUGUAUAAACAUUCUGAAUUUAUUUGACGAGUUGACACUUUAUCCUGGAUGGUCUGUAAAAAUCUUUUUAUUGAUCUUGUUGUAUCAGGAAGCAUUCACAAAAGUUUGUCAUUUCAUUUCUAUAUUAGAUAUCUGGAUAUCAAUUUGUUUUCGUAAAAAGAACCACGACAAUGACGAAACUUGGACUUAUUCUGCUACUAUCAGUGCUUCUUCUAGGAAGCAUAGCACAUGUCAAUGGACAACGGAAGCAUCAGACAAACUUUUGCUGUUGGGUCAGAAAAUGUCCUCGCUCAACCCACUUUUGUCACGCGAUUGGAUCAGAAUGUCGAUGUCGUAGAAAGGGUUCGAGAUCCAUUGCCUGAAAGGAUGUGAAAUUCGACAUUAUAUCCGCUUACAACGUGUUUGGAAUAACUAAAUUUUGGAAUAACUACAUCGUUCUAUUUUGUCUUAGAUAUUUAGUGCAUAUUUGUGUGUAGAUAUUAAAUUUUCUGAUAGUGGGUGUUGUUUAGUACAAGUUAAUGCACUCAGUGUUCUACACUUCCGAAUAAUCUCAUGAGUUCGCGGCACGACAUUCCAUGUGUUUAUUAUGAAACAGUUCGUAGUUAACAUAUGAUAUUUUAAGAAUAUUAAACAAAUCUGAUAUAAUUGUUGAGAAUGUUAAGUUGAUGGUACACACUAAUACCUGUGUCAUGCUUAAAAAUGAAUUUUACACAUCAUUUUGUCAUUAUUAUCAAGAUCGUGUGCUAUCUAUUUUUAUCAUAAGAAUGAAAUUUGUAUUAAGCUGACGAUCGCACUGAAGUGGACAAACCUUGCAAUUGCUUCAUCUUUUUCUGGUUCCAGUAAUUUAUCAACUAAAUGUAAGCUUUGCUAUAUAAAUUUUCUGAUUACCUUUACAAUUUAAAUAUCGCUGUUGUACUUUUAUCAUCACAUAUAUUGCACAAUGACUACAACCUAGUUUUGGACAAAAAUGUUUUAAUGAGUUUUCAGACGGCACGUUUUGUACAUUUGAACAUUCCGUACACUGAAAAUUCAUUGCAAUGUAUACAAAAUUUCCUCCGGACUGUACGGUUAUCCUGACUUAGUUGGCACAAUUUUUCUCUUUGUAGAUCCUUGAACUUCUAGAAUAUCUGGAUUUAUGGUGCCAUUGCUGCCAUUGAAACAAUUGAUAGGGGGCGUCCGUGGCCGAGUGGUUAAGGUCGUUGACUUCUAACCACUUGCCCCUCACCGCUGUGGGUUCGAAUCCCGACAGGGACUUUGGAUUCUUUCAUGUGAGGAAGCUAUCCAGCUAGCUUACGGAACGUCGGUGGUUCUACUCAGGUGCCCGUUCGUGCCUGAAAUAAUGCACGGAAGGGCACCUGAGGUCUUCCUCCACCAGUAAAGCUGGAACGUCGCGAUAUGACCUAUACUGUGUCGAUGUGACGUUAAACCCAAAACAAACAAAAA